rnacentral:rRNA from 1 species
GAUGAACGCUGGCGGCGUGCCUAAUACAUGCAAGUCGAGCGAACGGACGAGAAGCUUGCUUCUCUGAUGUUAGCGGCGGACGGGUGAGUAACACGUGGAUAACCUACCUAUAAUACUGGGAUAACUUCGGGAAACCGGAGCUAAUACCGGAUAAUAUUUUGAACCGCAUGGUUCAAAAGUGGAAGACGGUCUUGCUGUCACUUAUAGAUGGAUCCGCGCUGCAUUAGCUAGUUGGUAAGGUAACGGCUUACCAAGGCAACGAUGCAUAGCCGACCUGAGAGGGUGAUCGGCCACACUGGAACUGAGACACGGUCCAGACGACUACGGGAGGCAGCAGUAGGGAAUCUUCCGCAAUGGGCGAAAGCAUGACGGAGCAACGCCGCGUGAGUGAUGAAGGUCUUCGGAUCGUAAAACUCUGUUAUUAGGGAAGAACAUAUGUGUAAGUAACUGUGCACAUCUUGACGGUAACUAAUCAGAAAGCCACGGCUAACUACGUG